AAGUCGUAACAAGGUUUCCGUAGGUGAACCUGCGGAAGGAUCAUUAUCUAUACGCGAGAGCUUUUAGCCCUCGUGUUAUAUCCUUGUAUGUAAGCACUCUGGUACUCCCUCGGCGUGGCUCGCCCGCCGAACGGAUCUAUUUACACCUUUGAAUUGAAAUUAGCGUCUGAUAUAACUUGAAUUAUUACAACUUUCAACAACGGAUCUCUUGGUUCUG
rnacentral:misc_RNA from 1 species